UACGUAGGGGGCAAGCGUUAUCCGGAAUUAUUGGGCGUAAAGAGUACGUAGGUGGCAACCUAAGCGCAGGGUUUAAGGCAAUGGCUCAACCAUUGUUCGCCCUGCGAACUGGGAUGCUUGAGUGCAGGAGAGGAAAGCGGAAUUCCUAGUGUAGCGGUGAAAUGCGUAGAUAUUAGGAGGAACACCAGUGGCGAAGGCGGCUUUCUGGACCGUAACUGACACUGAGGUACGAAAGCGUGGGGAGCAAACAGG
rnacentral:rRNA from 1 species